rnacentral:rRNA from 1 species
AGUAACGGCGAGUGAAGCGGCAACAGCUCAAAUUUGAAAUCUGGCGUCUUCGGCGUCCGAGUUGUAAUUUGCAGAGGGCGCUUUGGCAUUGGCAGCGGUCCAAGUUCCUUGGAACAGGACGUCACAGAGGGUGAGAAUCCCGUACGUGGUCGCUAGCCUUUACCGUGUAAAGCCCCUUCGACGAGUCGAGUUGUUUGGGAAUGCAGCUCUAAAUGGGAGGUAAAUUUCUUCUAAAGCUAAAUACUGGCCAGAGACCGAUAGCGCACAAGUAGAGUGAUCGAAAGAUGAAAAGCACUUUGGAAAGAGAGUUAAAAAGCACGUGAAAUUGUUGAAAGGGAAGCGCUUGCAGCCAGACUUGCCUGUAGUUGCUCAUCCGGGUUUCUACCCGGUGCACUCUUCUAUAGGCAGGCCAGCAUCAGUUUGGGCGGUUGGAUAAAGGUCUCUGUCAUGUACCUCUCUUCGGGGAGAACUUAUAGGGGAGACGACAUGCAACCAGCCUGGACUGAGGUCCGCGCAUCUGCUAGGAUGCUGGCGUAAUGGCUGUAAGCGGCCCGUCUUGAAACACGGACCAAGGAGUCUAACAUCUAUGCGAGUGUUUGGGUGUCAAGCCCGAGCGCGUAAUGAAAGUGAACGGAGGUGGGAACCUUUCGGGGUGCACCAUCGACCGAUCCUGAUGUCUUCGGAUGGAUUUGAGUAAGAGCAUAGCUGUUGGGACCCGAAAGAUGGUGAACUAUGCUUGAAUAGGGUGAAGCCAGAGGAAACUCUGGUGGAGGCUCGCAGCGGUUCUGACGUGCAAAUC